rnacentral:rRNA from 1 species
GUGGGGAAUAUUGGACAAUGGGCGAAAGCCUGAUCCAGCCAUGCCGCGUGUGUGAAGAAGGUCUUCGGAUUGUAAAGCACUUUAAGUUGGGAGGAAGGGCAGUAAGUUAAUACCUUGCUGUUUUGACGUUACCAACAGAAUAAGCACCGGCUAACUUCGUGCCAGCAGCCGCGGUAAUACGAAGGGUGCAAGCGUUAAUCGGAAUUACUGGGCGUAAAGCGCGCGUCGGUGGUUCAGCAAGUUGGAGGUGAAAUCCCCGGGCUCAACCUGGGAACUGCCUCCAAAACUACUGAGCUAGAGUACGGUAGAGGGUAGUGGAAUGUCCUGUGUAGCGGUGAAAUGCGUAGAUAUAGGAAGGAACACCAGUGGCGAAGGCGACUACCUGGACUGAUACUGACACUGAGGUGCGAAAGCGUGGGGAGCAAACAGGAUUAGAAACCCCUGUAGUCC